UACAGAGGUCUGCAAGCGUUGUUCGGAUUCAUUGGGCGUAAAGGGGUGCGUAGGUGGCGCUGUAAGUCGGGUGUGAAAUUUCGGAGCUUAACUCCGAAACUGCAUUCGAUACUGCGGUGCUUGAGGACUGGAGAGGAGACGUAGGAAUUCAUGGUGUAGCAGUGAAAUGCGUAGAGAUCAUGAGGAAGACCAGUGGCGAAGGCGGGUCUCUGGACAGUUCCUGACACUGAGGCACGA
rnacentral:rRNA from 1 species